AUCUUUCGGAAAAACGCGUGAUGG
rnacentral:siRNA from 1 species